rnacentral:rRNA from 1 species
AUGGCGAGCGACCGAGACGUGCGAUGGCGAGUCUCCUUCGCCGCCGACCUGAUGACGGGCGCUCUCCGAUUCGUCGACGUGGAGGUCGUCCUUCGUCGAGGGGUGAUGCGACUCGUUCUCUUAGACAAGCGCGGUGUCAUCGUGGACGCGCGUUAUCUCUGCGAGGGCGAGUCCAUAGACAUUGGUGACAUGAUCUCGUUUCCCUGCUACUUUGCGAAGGUUCGAGAUCGUUUGCCGGCGGCGGGCUCGUCGGCGGGAGAUACGGUGGAGGAUGCGAGGCGACCAGGCGCGGUACACGGAAACAACGAGGGGCGGUACACGGAGGACCGGGUGCGGUGCGACACGGGCACGACCUCGCGCCCCCACCCAUCCAUGGCGGAUGGGCGACACGUGGGAGCACAUCCAAACAUCCAUUCUCGGCCACGGGCGUGCGGUAAGGGUAUAAAUCAUCUGCCCCGCCCCCUACUUGACCUAGACUCCGCCCUCGCCCACUUCUGGACGGCGGAAAAAACCCUAGAUCGAGAUCUGGAGAGGAGUGGGGGUGGUGGAGAGGCAAGGUGGGCGGAGAUCCUCGAUCCUUUGCGGAGGUAG